UCCCUGGUGGUCUAGUGGUUAGGAUUUGGCAUUUUUCACUGCUAAGGCCUGGGUUCAAUUCCCAGUCAGGGAA